rnacentral:rRNA from 1 species
AUUGAACGCUGGCGGCAGGCCUAACACAUGCAAGUCGAGCGGAUGAAGGGAGCUUGCUCCUGGAUUCAGCGGCGGACGGGUGAGUAAUGCCUAGGAAUCUGCCUGGUAGUGGGGGAUAACGUCCGGAAACGGGCGCUAAUACCGCAUACGUCCUGAGGGAGAAAGUGGGGGAUCUUCGGACCUCACGCUAUCAGAUGAGCCUAGGUCGGAUUAGCUAGUUGGUGGGGUAAAGGCCUACCAAGGCGACGGUCCGUAACUGGUCUGAGAGGAGGAUCAGUCACACUGGAACUGAGACACGGUCCAGACUCCUACGGGAGGCAGCAGUGGGGAAUAUUGGACAAUGGGCGAAAGCCUGAUCCAGCCAUGCCGCGUGUGUGAAGAAGGUCUUCGGAUUGUAAAGCACUUUAAGUUGGGAGGAAGGGCAGUAAGUUAAUACCUUGCUGUUUUGACGUUACCAACAGAAUAAGCACCGGCUAACUUCGUG